rnacentral:rRNA from 2 species
AGGAUGAACGCUGGCGGCGUGCCUAAUACAUGCAAGUCGAGCGAACUGAUUAGAAGCUUGCUUCUAUGACGUUAGCGGCGGACGGGUGAGUAACACGUGGGCAACCUGCCUGUAAGACUGGGAUAACUUCGGGAAACCGAAGCUAAUACCGGAUAGGAUCUUCUCCUUCAUGGGAGAUGAUUGAAAGAUGGUUUCGGCUAUCACUUACAGAUGGGCCCGCGGUGCAUUAGCUAGUUGGUGAGGUAACGGCUCACCAAGGCAACGAUGCAUAGCCGACCUGAGAGGGUGAUCGGCCACACUGGGACUGAGACACGGCCCAGACUCCUACGGGAGGCAGCAGUAGGGAAUCUUCCGCAAUGGACGAAAGUCUGACGGAGCAACGCCGCGUGAGUGAUGAAGGCUUUCGGGUCGUAAAACUCUGUUGUUA